ensembl:snRNA U6 U6 spliceosomal RNA
GUGCUCACUUCAGCAGCACAUAUACUAAAAUUGGAACGACACGGAGAAGAUUAGCAUGUCCUCUGCACAAGGAUGAUACGCAAAUUUGUGAAGCAUUGCAUAUUUUU